GAUGAACGCUGGCGGCGUGCCUAAUACAUGCAAGUCGAACGAAACUUCUUUAUCACCGAGUGCUUGCACUCACCGAUAAAGAGUUGAGUGGCGAAAGGGUGAGUACCACGUGGGCAACCUGCCCAAAAGAGGGGGAUAACACUUGGAAACAGGUGCUAAUACCGCAUAACCAUAGUUACCGCAUGGUAACUAUGUAAAAGGUGGCUAUACUUCCGCUUUUGGAUGGGCCCGCGGCGCAUUAGCUAGUUGGUAGGGUAAAGGCUUACCAAGGCAAUGAUGCGGAGACGAAUUGUGAGGGUGGUAGGCCACAUUGGGACUGAGACACGCCCCCAACGCCUACGGGAGGGAGCAGUAGGGAAUCUGCGGCAAUAGGCGAGAACCUGAUAUAGCGACGCGGCGUGGGUGGAAAAGGUGCUCGGAGCGUGAAACCCUCUUGUGAGAGAAAAAAGGGUGUGGCAGUAACUGUUGAGGUUGAGACGGUAUCGGAUAAGAAAGCCCCGGCUAACUACGUG
rnacentral:rRNA from 1 species